CCUAGCUUCUCAGCCCAUGGAAAGUGGCGAGCAUGCACCAAGGAGGCUACAGAACAAGAUGGAAAGUCUGGAAGACCUGGUGGAAUUGUUACAGAUAGAAAACCAAGCCACGUCACCAGUGAUCAGAACUCAGGAGGUGAAGACAAAGAAAUCCAAGGAAAAGGAGAACAGGCUCUCCAAGGGAAGAUGUUAGUCAUUCCUUUCAUGUGGAUGGCACAGGAGGACACCCCGGAUGACAGCCAGCCCCUAAGAGAGAAAACCUAAUGCCAGGCUAAUCUGUGGAGAGACUCCAAACAGUAAGUUUAACUCCAGAGAGAAUGUGGGAUGGGCGCGGGUUUUGCCAAGCGAGCCAGGUGCCACGCGCGUUUCUGCAGGAGACUUGGAACUGCUUUAUGCCCAGUCCCCUCAGGCUGUGCCUGCACAGCAUCCAGCUGCAGCACUCAGCAUCUGUACACCAAACUGCUUCACAGGCAGGAGCAGAUUGCAUUCCACCUAAAAGUAAUCAAGUUGUUUAAUUUAUCA